UUAAGUUCAGCGGGUAUUCCUACCUGAUCCGAGGUCAAACUCUAAAAGUUGGGGUUUUACGGCGAGGCCACGCUGCUCUCCGGUGCGAGGUGUGCUACUACGCAAGGGAAGCUGCAGCGAGACCGCCACUGUAUUUGGGCCGUAACCCCCCUUUCGGGAGGCUAUCGGCCAACACCGCUGCCGAAUGGCCGCGAGGGUUG
rnacentral:misc_RNA from 1 species